rnacentral:rRNA from 1 species
GACAGAGGGUGCAAACGUUGUUCGGAAUUACUGGGCGUAAAGCGAGUGUAGGCGGUCUUGAAAGUCGGAUGUGAAAGCCCUGGGCUCAACCCAGGAAGUGCAUUCGAUACUCCAAGGCUAGAGUACUGGAGAGGUGGGUGGAAUUCUCGGUGUAGAGGUGAAAUUCGUAGAUAUCGAGAGGAACACCGGCGGCGAAGGCGGCCCACUGGACAGAUACUGACGCUGAGACUCGAAAGCGUGGGGAGCAAACAGGAUUAGAUACCCUGGUAGUCCACGCCGUAAACGAUGGGUGCUAGGUGUCGCGGGCUUUGACUCCUGCGGUGCCGUAGCUAACGCAUUAAGCACCCCGCCUGGGAAGUACGGCCGCAAGGCUAAA